rnacentral:rRNA from 1 species
UGGGGAAUUUUGGACAAUGGGCGCAAGCCUGAUCCAGCCAUGCCGCGUGCGGGAAGAAGGCCUUCGGGUUGUAAACCGCUUUUGUCAGGGAAGAAAUCUUCUGAGUUAAUACCUCGGGAGGAUGACGGUACCUGAAGAAUAAGCACCGGCUAACUACGUGCCAGCAGCCGCGGUAAUACGUAGGGUGCAAGCGUUAAUCGGAAUUACUGGGCGUAAAGCGUGCGCAGGCGGUUUUGUAAGACAGAGGUGAAAUCCCCGGGCUCAACCUGGGAACUGCCUUUGUGACUGCAAGGCUUGAGUGCGGCAGAGGGGGAUGGAAUUCCGCGUGUAGCAGUGAAAUGCGUAGAUAUGCGGAGGAACACCGAUGGCGAAGGCAAUCCCCUGGGCCUGCACUGACGCUCAUGCACGAAAGCGUGGGGAGCAAACAGGAUUAGAUAGCCCUGGUAGUCCACGCCCUAAAACGAUGUCAACUGGUUGUUGGGAAGGUUCCUUCUCGGUAACGUAGCUAACGCGUGAAGUUGACCGCCUGGGGAGUACGGCCGCAAGGUUG